UACGGAGGGUGCAAGCGUUUAAUCGGAAUUACUGGGCGUAAAGCGCACGUAGGUGGUUUGCUAAGUCAGCUGUGAAAUCCCCGGGCUCAACCUGGGCACUGCAGUUGAAACUGGCAAGCUAGAGUAGGGUAGAGGGGUGUGGAAUUCCAGGUGUAGCGGUGAAAUGCGUAGAUAUCAGGAGGAACACCGGUGGCGAAGGCGGGUCUCUGGGCCAUACUGACGCUGAGGAGCGAAAGCGUGGGGAGCGAACAGG
rnacentral:rRNA from 1 species